rnacentral:lncRNA from 1 species
CAUAAAGGUACUGAAAAUAACAUUUCACCACGGUACAGGUAAAACCCAAUUGCUAUUGUUGGUUUUCUUUAGUUGUCAAUCUAAGGAAUGUGUAUUAGGGUUUUGAGUUCGUUUUAGAUUUAAACAAAUGAAACUUUAUUAAUUUUUGUUUUAUUUGUUAUUGAACGCAUCAGCAUGUUCAAAUUAAUGUUUCGAUUAAUUUGUGCAACUCAUGAAUUCUAUUUAUUUUCUGGUAAUUGGGUGGGUACUUUACGCUUUUCUGAAAGUAGAAAAAUAGAAAUAAAUAUUGUGUACAUAUUCGUAUAGCUAUGGAUAGUCUGCUAAGUGGUACCUUAUCUUUUUCUAAAAGUAAAUUAGUGUUUUUCAUGUAUAUUUUGGAUUUAUAUCAAAAUGUUGUACUUAGAUUUUAAAUGUUGCACAGUUUAAUACUCACUAAAAAAAUUCAACAUUCAUAGGUGAGAUAUGUGUUAACAAAUUAUAACCAUAACCUCUGAUAAUCAGAUUCUAUGUGUUAGUAAACAUUCACUAUGUGCUUAUUUACGAUUAGUUUCGAGGAGAUUGUAAACUAAAUCAUCACCUCGUUUCUGUUUUAAUCAUGAGCCAGGUAGGUAUUCAGAGUAACUUUAGAGAGGCGAAAUUGGUUUGGAUAAAUUGUUAAAGGUUUGUUAUGUAUUUUGAGGGUAAGUUUUAUUAGCCAGGUGUUAUACAAAUUUCUUCUAUAGUUUUCUUUCAAUAUUUUAAGCAUUUAAACAUAUCUACUACUUUCAAUUGCAAUUAACACUUUUUUCAGGUAGAAACAGGUUUUGGUUCCUUCAUACAAACUAGUAGUGAAUGAAUUCGUUAAAGGAAGUGUAUUAUUGUCUGCUCCAGAUUCUGUAAAGCCAAUCAAUACUGGUAACCUUCUAUUAGAUCUCAUCCGUGUAUGAUGACUUUAUAUCGUUUUAUAUAAUAUGUUAUUUUUGUUUUAUGAAUUUGUCUAUGUUAACAGUACAAGCUAUGUGAAUGUCCAUGGGACAGAGCACAUAUGAAAUAUUCAGCAUAGUGUACAAUCUUUCCUUUGUUGCUAUUCUCUUGACCACAAAGGAUUAGGUAACCUAUUUCUACAUAAAUUUUAGAGUUAUUCAUGUUCCCCACCAUGUUUCUUUUAAAUUAUAUAGUCCAAUUAGCCUUACGAUAAUAUCUCAUGAUUCCUGCUAUGCAGCCUAAGUCCGUACAUCUUGUAAGACGUUUAAUUUUGGUGUUUUUAAUCUGAUGUUCUAUUAUGUUUUUAAUUAUAAAGGGACAAUAUACAUGCAUUUCUUUGUUAUUAACAUAUGUUGAUUUUGCAGUAAUGGAAAGCAUAAGGAUGGUUAUUUGUCUCUAUUUUCUAUACUAUUAGCGAGGUUAUUGGAUUGAUGAUUGUUUGGCCCUAUAUUCGGAAAUGAUCUACUAUACAUCGUAUCAAACGUUCUAUUUUUUAUCUUUAUUUUUUUUACUGACUGAUAUUUGAUUAUUUGAAUAGAUCCAUGGAUGGAUAAAAGAAAACAAGAGACAAUUAUGGUGGCAGCUUUAUGGCCAAGUAAUACUUUUGGAUGUAUUUUGAAUAUAUGUAAAGGGAAGAUUUAUAUUUUAGAUGUUUGAAUACAUGUUAUUAAAAUAUUUUUGUUAUUUUGAUCCUUGAAAUGAAUGUCUUCGAUUUGAGGAACGCUUUUUGGUCAUGUAUGCACACAUUUUCUGUGUUUGUGGAAGAAUCUUGCAUAUCUUUUGUUUGUGUUUGAAUGUUUAUACUUAUG